rnacentral:rRNA from 1 species
UACGUAGGGUGCAAGCGUUGUCCGGAAUUAUUGGGCGUAAAGAGCUCGUAGGCGGCUUGUCGCGUCGUCCGUGAAAACUUGGGGCUCAACCCCAAGCUUGCGGUCGAUACGGGCAGGCUAGAGUUCGGUAGGGGAGACUGGAAUUCCCGGUGUAGCGGUGAAAUGCGCAGAUAUCGGGAAGAACACCCGUGGCGAAGGCGGCUUACUGGUCCGGAACUGACGCUGAGGUGCGAAAGCGUGGGGAGCAAACAGG